ACGGGAGGCAGCAGUGGGGAAUAUUGGGCAAUGGGGGCAACCCUGACCCAGCAACGCCGCGUGAAGGAAGAAGGCUUUCGGGUUGUAAACUUCUUUUAUCAGGGACGAUAAUGACGGUACCUGAUGAAUAAGCCACGGCUAACUACGUGCCAGCAGCCGCGGUAAUACGUAGGUGGCGAGCGUUAUCCGGAUUUACUGGGUAUAAAGGGCGCGUAGGCGGGGAUGCAAGUCAGGUGUGAAAUCUAUGGGCUUAACUCAUAAACUGCACUUGAAACUGUAUUUCUUGAGUGCUGGAGAGGUAGAUGGAAUUCCUUGUGUAGCGGUGAAAUGCGUAGAUAUAAGGAAGAACACCAGUGGCGAAGGCGAUCUACUGGACAGUAACUGACGCUGAGGCGCGAAAGCGUGGGGAGCAAACAGGAUUAGAUACCCUGGUA
rnacentral:rRNA from 1 species